rnacentral:rRNA from 1 species
GGUUAAGCGACUAAGCGUACACGGUGGAUGCCCUGGCAGUCAGAGGCGAUGAAGGACGUGCUAAUCUGCGAUAAGCGUCGGUAAGGUGAUAUGAACCGUUAUAACCGGCGAUUUCCGAAUGGGGAAACCCAGUGUGAUUCGUCACACUAUCAUUAACUGAAUCCAUAGGUUAAUGAGGCGAACCGGGGGAACUGAAACAUCUAAGUACCCCGAGGAAAAGAAAUCAACCGAGAUUCCCCCAGUAGCGGCGAGCGAACGGGGAGCAGCCCAGAGCCUGAAUCAGUGUGUGUGUUAGUGGAAGCGUCUGGAAAGGCGUGCGAUACAGGGUGACAGCCCCGUACACAAAAAUGCACAUACUGUGAGCUCGAUGAGUAGGGCGGGACACGUGGUAUCCUGUCUGAAUAUGGGGGGACCAUCCUCCAAGGCUAAAUACUCCUGACUGACCGAUAGUGAACCAGUACCGUGAGGGAAAGGCGAAAAGAACCCCGGCGAGGGGAGUGAAAAAGAACCUGAAACCGUGUACGUACAAGCAGUGGGAGCACAGAGCAAUCUGUGUGACUGCGUACCUUUUGUAUAAUGGGUCAGCGACUUAUAUUCUGUAGCAAGGUUAACCGAAUAGGGGAGCCGAAGGGAAACCGAGUCUUAACUGGGCGUUAAGUUGCAGGGUAUAGACCCGAAACCCGGUGAUCUAGCCAUGGGCAGGUUGAAGGUUGGGUAACACUAACUGGAGGACCGAACCGACUAAUGUUGAAAAAUUAGCGGAUGACUUGUGGCUGGGGGUGAAAGGCCAAUCAAACCGGGAGAUAGCUGGUUCUCCCCGAAAGCUAUUUAGGUAGCGCCUCGUGAAUUCAUCUCCGGGGGUAGAGCACUGUUUCGGCAAGGGGGUCAUCCCGACUUACCAACCCGAUGCAAACUGCGAAUACCGGAGAAUGUUAUCACGGGAGACACACGGCGGGUGCUAACGUCCGUCGUGAAGAGGGAAACAACCCAGACCGCCAGCUAAGGUCCCAAAGUCAUGGUUAAGUGGGAAACGAUGUGGGAAGGCCCAGACAGCCAGGAUGUUGGCUUAGAAGCAGCCAUCAUUUAAAGAAAGCGUAAUAGCUCACUGGUCGAGUCGGCCUGCGCGGAAGAUGUAACGGGGCUAAACCAUGCACCGAAGCUGCGGCAGCGACGCUUAUGCGUUGUUGGGUAGGGGAGCGUUCUGUAAGCCUGCGAAGGUGUGCUGUGAGGCAUGCUGGAGGUAUCAGAAGUGCGAAUGCUGACAUAAGUAACGAUAAAGCGGGUGAAAAGCCCGCUCGCCGGAAGACCAAGGGUUCCUGUCCAACGUUAAUCGGGGCAGGGUGAGUCGACCCCUAAGGCGAGGCCGAAAGGCGUAGUCGAUGGGAAACAGGUUAAUAUUCCUGUACUUGGUGUUACUGCGAAGGGGGGACGGAGAAGGCUAUGUUGGCCGGGCGACGGUUGUCCCGGUUUAAGCGUGUAGGCUGGUUUUCCAGGCAAAUCCGGAAAACUAAGGCUGAGGCGUGAUGACGAGGCACUACGGUGCUGAAGCAACAAAUGCCCUGCUUCCAGGAAAAGCCUCUAAGCAUCAGGUAACAUCAAAUCGUACCCCAAACCGACACAGGUGGUCAGGUAGAGAAUACCAAGGCGCUUGAGAGAACUCGGGUGAAGGAACUAGGCAAAAUGGUGCCGUAACUUCGGGAGAAGGCACGCUGAUAUGUAGGUGAAGCGACUUGCUCGUGGAGCUGAAAUCAGUCGAAGAUACCAGCUGGCUGCAACUGUUUAUUAAAAACACAGCACUGUGCAAACACGAAAGUGGACGUAUACGGUGUGACGCCUGCCCGGUGCCGGAAGGUUAAUUGAUGGGGUCAGCGCAAGCGAAGCUCUUGAUCGAAGCCCCGGUAAACGGCGGCCGUAACUAUAACGGUCCUAAGGUAGCGAAAUUCCUUGUCGGGUAAGUUCCGACCUGCACGAAUGGCGUAAUGAUGGCCAGGCUGUCUCCACCCGAGACUCAGUGAAAUUGAACUCGCUGUGAAGAUGCAGUGUACCCGCGGCAAGACGGAAAGACCCCGUGAACCUUUACUAUAGCUUGACACUGAACAUUGAGCCUUGAUGUGUAGGAUAGGUGGGAGGCUUUGAAGUGUGGACGCCAGUCUGCAUGGAGCCGACCUUGAAAUACCACCCUUUAAUGUUUGAUGUUCUAACGUUGACCCGUAAUCCGGGUUGCGGACAGUGUCUGGUGGGUAGUUUGACUGGGGCGGUCUCCUCCUAAAGAGUAACGGAGGAGCACGAAGGUUGGCUAAUCCUGGUCGGACAUCAGGAGGUUAGUGCAAUGGCAUAAGCCAGCUUGACUGCGAGCGUGACGGCGCGAGCAGGUGCGAAAGCAGGUCAUAGUGAUCCGGUGGUUCUGAAUGGAAGGGCCAUCGCUCAACGGAUAAAAGGUACUCCGGGGAUAACAGGCUGAUACCGCCCAAGAGUUCAUAUCGACGGCGGUGUUUGGCACCUCGAUGUCGGCUCAUCACAUCCUGGGGCUGAAGUAGGUCCCAAGGGUAUGGCUGUUCGCCAUUUAAAGUGGUACGCGAGCUGGGUUUAGAACGUCGUGAGACAGUUCGGUCCCUAUCUGCCGUGGGCGCUGGAGAACUGAGGGGGGCUGCUCCUAGUACGAGAGGACCGGAGUGGACGCAUCACUGGUGUUCGGGUUGUCAUGCCAAUGGCACUGCCCGGUAGCUAAAUGCGGAAGAGAUAAGUGCUGAAAGCAUCUAAGCACGAAACUUGCCCCGAGAUGAGUUCUCCCUGACUCCUUGAGAGUCCUGAAGGAACGUUGAAGACGACGACGUUGAUAGGCCGGGUGUGUAAGCGCAGCGAUGCGUUGAGCUAACCGGUACUAAUGAACCGUGAGGCUUAACCUU